rnacentral:tRNA from 2 species
GGCCCCAUCGUCUAGUGGUUAGGACGCCAGGUUUUCAUCCUGGUAACAGGAGUUCGAUUCUCCUUGGGGCUACCA